AGGCAAGAUUUUGGCAUAGCUGU
rnacentral:miRNA from 1 species